rnacentral:rRNA from 1 species
UACGUGGGGGGCUAGCGUUGUCCGGAAUCAUUGGGCGUAAAGAGCGUGUAGGCGGUCCGGUAAGUCCGCUGUGAAAGUCGGGGGCUCAACCCUCGAAUGCCGGUGGAUACUGUCGGGCUAGAGUGCGGAAGAGGCGAGUGGAAUUCCUGGUGUAGCGGUGAAAUGCGCAGAUAUCAGGAGGAACACCUAUUGCGAAGGCAGCUCGCUGGGACGUAACUGACGCUGAGACGCGAAAGCGUGGGGAGCAAACAGG